GAAAGCUUUGUGUCCCCUGUGUUCCAGGAGUCGUGCAGCAUCUGCAGAACGGCCAGCUGCUGAGAGACAUCUACCUAAAGAAACACAAGCUCCUGCCGAAUGAUUGGUCCACAGACCAGCUUUAUUUAGAGACCACGGGGAAAAGCCGGACCCUGCAGAGCGGGCUGGCCUUGCUCUAUGGCUUUCUCCCAGAUUUUGACUGGAAGAAGAUUUAUUUCAGGCACCAGCCAAGUGCUCUGUUCUGCUCUGGAAGCUGCUACUGCCCAGUGAGAAACCAGUACCUGGAGAAGGAGCAGCGUCGUCAGUACCUCUUGCGUCUGAAAAACAGCCAGCUGGAGAGGACCUACGGGGAGAUGGCCAGGAUCGUGGACGUCCCAACCAAGCAGCUCCGGGCGGCCAACCCCAUAGACUCCAUGCUCUGCCACUUCUGCCAUAACGUCAGCUUCCCUUGCACCAGGAAUGGCUGUGUCGCUAUGGAGCACUUCAAGGUGAUCAAGACACAUCAGAUAGAGGAUGAGAGGGAGAGGCGGGAGAAGAAGCUGUACCUCGGGUACUCACUCCUGGGCGCCCACCCAAUCCUGAACCAGACCGUCGGUCGGAUGCAGCGUGCCACCGAGGGCAGGAAAGAAGAGGUCUUUGCCCUCUACUCUGCUCAUGAUGUCACUCUGUCCCCAGUCCUCAGUGCCUUGGGCCUUUCGGAAGCCAGGUUCCCAAGGUUUGCGGCCAGGCUGAUCUUCGAGCUUUGGCAAGACAGGGAAAAGCCCAGCGAGCAUGCCGUCCGGAUUCUGUACAAUGGUGUCGACGUCACAUUCCACACCUCAUUCUGCCAGGACCACCACAAGCGUUCUCCCAAGCCCAUGUGCCCCCUCGAAAAUUUAGUUCGCUUUGUCAAAAGGGACAUGUUUGUGGCCCUGGGAAGCAGUCGUACAAAUUAUUAUGAUGCAUGUCACAGGGAAGGAUUCUAAAAGGUCCGCAGCACGGCAGUGUAGAAUCUUUGCCAGUACAGAGAGUGGGGAAAGAUCCACUUCUAGUUCUAUCUGUUGCUAAGGGUAUAUGAUGAUUGAUUUUUUUAAAGGCUAAACACUGUGUUUGGGAGCCACGUGGAUGGUUUGGGUGGAACAGCAAGCAUGUUGCUAUAUUCUGGUACAUGAAUUGCUUGGUACAAGAUGGCUAGUUUACAG